CCUACGGGAGGCAGCAGUGGGGAAUAUUGCACAAUGGGGGAAACCCUGAUGCAGCAACGCCGCGUGAAGGAAGACGGUUUUCGGCUUGUAAACUUCUAUCAAUAGGGAAGAAAGAAAUGACGGUUCCUAAAUAAGAAGCCCCGGCUAACUACGUGCCAGCAGCCGCGGUACUACGUAGGGGGCAAGCGUUCGCCGGAAUUACUGGGUGUAAAGGGAGAGUAGGCGGCAAGGUAAGCGAUAUGUGAAAGCCUUAAGCUUAACUUAAGGAUGGCAUAACGAACGAUCUAGCUGGAGUACAGGAGAGGAAAGCGGAAUUCCUAGUGUAGCGGUGAAAUGCGUAGAUAUUAGGAAGAACACCAGUGGCGAAGGCGGCUUGCUGGACUGAAACUGACGCUGAGGCUCGAAAGCGUGGGUAGCGAACAGGAUUAGAUACCCGGGUAGUC
rnacentral:rRNA from 1 species